rnacentral:misc_RNA from 1 species
GAAAUUUUAGUCUAAUAAUUAAAAUAAUAUUUAAGAAGCUGUGGCAUCAUUCACAUUACGAUUGUGAAAAGCAGAUUGUAUAAAGAGAAAUUAUAACAUUGCUCACACAAUAACAUAAAUAUGAGUAAUAUUCUCGUUAAUUUAUAAAAGAUCCUAGGUGUAAAUUUCAAAAAAAGAGUGUAUGUGAGUAUAUCAAUAAUCUAUGAUUGAAUAAACAUGCAUGAGUUGAAAGUGAAAGGAGGAUUUGGAUGAAGUGUACCUUAUUUAUCUCCCAAAGAUGCAA